rnacentral:rRNA from 1 species
UGGGCGUAAAGCGUGCGCAGGCGGAUUGUUAAGCAAGAUGUGAAAUCCCCGGGCUUAACCUGGGAAUGGCAUCUUGAACUGGCAGUCUAGAGUGCGUCAGAGGGGGGUGGAAUUCCACGUGUAGCAGUGAAAUGCGUAGAGAUGUGGAGGAACACCAAUGGCGAAGGCAGCCCCCUGGGAUGACACUGACGCUCAUGUACGAAAGCGUGGGUAGCAAACAGGAUUAGACACCCUGGUAGUCCACGCCCUAAACGAUGUCAACUGGUUGUUGGGGGAGUGAAAUCCCUUAGUAACGAGGCUAACGCGUGAAGUUGACCGCCUGGGGAGUACGGUCGCAAGAUUAAAACUCUAAGGAAUUGACGGGGACCCGCACAAGCGGUGGAUGAUGUGGAUUAAUUCGAUGCAACGCGAAAAACCUUACCUACCCUUGACAUGUCCGGAAUCCUGCAGAGAUGCGGGAGUGCUCGAAAGAGAACCGGAACACAGGUGCUGCAUGGCUGUCGUCAGCUCGUGUCGUGAGAUGUUGGGUUAAGUCCCGCAACGAGCGCAACCCUUAUCAUUAGUUGCUACGCAAGGGCACUCUAAUGAGACUGCCGGUGACAAACCGGAGGAAGGUGGGGAUGACGUCAAGUCCUCAUGGCCCUUAUGGGUAGGGCUUCACACGUCAUACAAUGGUCGGUACAGAGGGUUGCCAAGCCGCGAGGUGGAGCCAAUCCCAGAAAGCCGAUCGUAGUCCGGAUUGUUCUCUGCAACUCGAGAGCAUGAAGUCGGAAUCGCUAGUAAUCGCGGAUCAGCAUGUCGCGGUGAAUACGU